AACUUGAUUGGAUUGAAGAAUGCAAAAUAUUGUUCCUGGGUGUGUCUGUGAGGGUGCUGCCAAAGGAGAUUUCCAUCUGAGUCAGUGGACUGGGAGGGGCAGGUUCACCCUCAGUCUGUGUGGGCACUGUCUAAUCAGCUGCCAGUGCAGCUAGAAUAAAGCAGGCAGAAGAAGUUGGAAAGAGCAGACUUGCUGAGUCUUCUGGCCUUCAUCUUUCUCCUGUGCAGGAUGCUUCCUGCCCUCAAACUUCAGACUCCAAGUUCUCCAGCUUUUGGUUUCUUGGACUUACACCAGUGAUUUGCCAGGGACUCUCGGGCCUACUACCACAGACUGAAGGCUGCACUGUUGGCUUCCCUACUUUUGAAGUUUGGGGGCUGGCUUCCUAGUUCCUCAGCUUGUGGAUGACCUACUGUGGGACUUCACCUCGUGAUAGGAACCAGAGAGUCACUUCCAGCAGUGAAGGAGAAAACUUUCAAAUAGCCCCUCUGCAUCUCCUACCUGAUGGUUAAUGCUGGCUGAGGAUUUCAGUGACAAUUCCUAAUUAAGCAGCUAUAACUGCAAGUGGACAACACUUGUAAAUUCAGCUCUUCUUUUCCUCAAGCCUUACUUUCCUGGAUGCACAAAAGACCAACAAAACACUGGGAUCAAGGAGAGACGCAGCUUUUGUAUAAAUGAAAACCAAAUAUAGCAAUAUAUCAGAGGUCACAAUCAUGACUGACACAAGUUAGUGAACUACCAAUAUCCAGUGAGACUGGAAUGCUCUCCAGUGGCAUCCAUGAGACCCUAGUCUGUAUGGGUAGAGGCUGCUCACUUCCCCUUCUGCAGUCUCAUGGAUUGGAAUCCUUCCCCGCCCUGUGGCCCCACCACCCUCUGCCUCUGUGCCUAAUCUUGUUUUUCACUUCUUCAAACUGCUGGCCAGAAUUCUUUUUCAACCUGGAUAGAUCAUCCUAUAACCACAACUCUGUGGUUCAACAUGGAUAAUACCUGCUGCUAAGUCUUGCAUUUAAGGUUAGUUAAUUUGGGUACUGACGCCAACAUUGCAAGUAAGUGUAGCUAUUCCUCAUUUUCGUGAUCUCAGACCAAUUGCGUAAGUUACUCACAUUGUUUAUAUAUUUUUUUAUUUUUUUCCGAGACAAGGUCUUGCUCUGUUGCCCAGGAUGGAGUGCAAUGACACGCUCGCAACUCACUGCAACUUCCACCUACUAGGUUGAAGCGAUCCUCCCAUCUCAGCCUCCCAAGUAGCUGGGAAUACAAGUGCAAGCAGCUAAUUUUUUUGUAUUUUUUGUUAAGAUGGGGUUUCGCCAUGUUGUCCAGGCUGGUCUCAAACUCCUGAGCUCAAGCAAUUCACCAGCGUCAGCCUCCCAAAGUGUUAGGACUACAGGUGUGAGCCACUGCACCCGGAGAGUAACUCUAACCUUAAAUCAUUUUUUCAACUUACCCCCACUUCCCAGACAACUCCCUCUUUUGGUGCCAGUAUCUUUCGGUAUGAAGUAUACAUAGGAAAUAAUGUAAACUUCAUUAUCUUUGCUGGGUGAUUUUAUACUUGUUUGCUCACAGCCAGGCUCUGCUCUGAGACCUUCUCUGACUUCCCGGCUCUUAAUGAUUAUUUCCCUUCUCUGAACUCCUUUACCAUCCAUCUAUACCAUUCACUUGAGACAUAACAAAUAUUCCAUUUGUGAUUAUUAAGUGCUUGCAGAAGUCCAUGACCUCGGUGUUAUAGGCUUCUAAAGUGCAAGUACUAUACUUCAUAAUUCUUUCUGUACCACAUUAUGCUCUGCAAUACCUUGCUCAAUUUAUGUGUAGCAAAUAUGUUGAUGUUGAACAUUGUAUUUUUCUCUUAAGAACUUAAUUCUGCCUCUCCUUUUAAAUGUUUUAUCGUAGUUGUUAUAUUUCUUGUCUGUUGCUUCAUUUCUUUUCCAUUCUUCCCUUCAAACCAACGUGGUUUGGAUUGAAUAAUCUUUUUCUUUCUUUCUUUUUUUUUUUUUUUUUUUUUUGAGACAGAUUCUUGCUCUGUCACCCAGGCUGGAGUGCAGUGGUGCAAUCUCAGCUCACUGCAACCUCCGACUCCUGGGUUCAAGCAAUUCUCCUGCCUCAGCCUCCUGAGUAGCUGGGACUACAGGCACACGCCACCACGCCCAGCUAAUUUUUGUAUUUUUAGUAGAGACAGGGUUUCACCAUAUUGGCCAGGAUGGUCUCAAUCUCUUGACCUUGUGAUCUGCCAGCCUCGGCCUCCCAAAGUGCUGAGAUUACAGGCAUGAGCCUCCACACCCAGCCCGGACUGAAUAAUUUUAAUGAAAACCCAAAUUACUAACAAAGUUGAGAAUGGAAAUGAUUAGAAUCUAGUUUGGGUCAGAUAUUUUGGUCAUUUGAUUACCCAAAUCAGAUUCACUACAUGGCUAAUUUCACCAUCUUGAUAACAUCAGUCUUCGAACUGCAGUGCUGACUUUCACAGCACUAAAUAAACAUAAUCACAACUGCUGGAUUUGGGAACUGAUGUGAGCUCAGCCUCUUUUCUCACUUAAGACAUGUCUCUACAAACAAAACCAAGGUUGUAUACCUGCCAUUUUUCUGUCUUCCUGUGACCCUUCUUCAUCUGGAAUAGAGAAAAUCAGGUAAUUGAAAUACCAAACUUUCAGCUUACUGUCUUCUCCUUACUCUGAAGUCUGAAAAGCCACCCUAAAAUAAUGAUGUAUUUGUUUGCUCACCUGAACAAACGAUUCUCUUCCUUUUCCACUCACUCAAAUUUUAGUCUUAGUCUUCCAUUUUCUGUGGACCCUUUUAAAUGUAGUUUGAAACAUAUCUCUUUUAAAAUUAUGGAAUUCAGUUUUAUGAGAAACUUUUUUCAAUAGCUCCUUUUUCUCUUUUCUUGAUUCUGUGAACAUUCUUAAUAUGCUCAAAGCCAGAAUCUGAGGGGCACCAGUUACUAUCCUAACAUUUAGAAAUAUCAGGGUGAGGUUUCCCUGGAAACCACAUGCACAUAAAAACCAUGCAGAGAAGACCUAGUUUCAUCUCUGGUUACAUUUUCUAUUGAAGAGAGAAAUCACCCUGGCCUGUGUGUUUUCUCUGGAGGUGAGAUUCAGGGCAAAAAGCUAUGGUGGUGAUUUUAUCAUGUUUUGACCUCUAUCAGACCAAUAAAGUAGUUAUAGUUAUUGGAAAAAAAAUAAAACUAAGCCAUAUAUAAGCCUGUAAAUGAAUUUAAAGCCCAGUCUUGGCUUUUCUCUUUCCUUAUGUGGUGGAAAUGACAAUUGACAG
rnacentral:lncRNA from 10 species